GGAGGGUAAGCGAAUGGCUAGCGGCGACACUGGAAAUGUCGUGCCGGGAAACCGGUUGUGGGUUCGAGUCCCAUGCCCUCCG
rnacentral:tRNA from 2 species